UACGGGGGGUGCGAGCGUUAAUCGGAAUAACUGGGCGUAAAGGGCCCGCAGGCGGACUUUUAAGUGAGGUGUGAAAUCCCCGGGCUUAACCAGGGAAUUGCAUUGCAUACUGGGAGUCUAGAGUACUUUAGGGAGGGGUAGAAUUCCACGUGUAGCGGUGAAAUGCGUAGAGAUGUGGAGGAAUACCGAAGGCGAAGGCAGCCCCUUGGGAAUGUACUGACGCUCAGGUGCGAAAGCGUGGGGAGCAAAUGGG
rnacentral:rRNA from 1 species